CUAAGCUACUCAAUUGGGAACCAUGGAUUCAGCUACUCAAUCUAGGAGUAGACUUGCAUAUGCUAGGAUUUGUGUCGAAAUCCAAGCUUUGUACGAUAUCCCAAAAACUUUUAAAUCUUGAUUUGGGUUAUGGCGAACCCUAUAAAAUUAGGGUAGAGACUCCUUGGACACACCCAACAAGUAUGUCCCUCUUCUCUCAUUGUUACAACUACCAUAAAGCAAGAAUGGAGGAAAAAAGAGGUCAUGAGUAAAGCCCCACUGAAUGAUUGGGUUGAGGUUCCAACGAAGGGAGUUAUCGAUGAGAACAAUGGUGCAAGUGUGAAUGAGGAUGCAAAGGAACAUCCCAAAGAUCUAUCUAAAAGGUGUGAAGCUCCUCAGAGUACGAACAUGUUUAAUGUUCUUGAUUCUUGUCUCGCCUCAAGUUAAAGUGACAACAAGGUUGAUAAUCCCCCGACUUCUCAGGUAGAGAACAGUAAAAAGUUGAAAGAGAAACUUCAGAUCUUGAAGUCAGCUUGUGGGAUAUAGUUGUCUCAUCUCAUUCUAUAAGUUCCAAGCGUGGACAAGGUGGGAGCGGAUAGUAACCUAGCCUCUUAUGUGAGAAUCGAAUCUGUUUCUCCAAAUCUCUUUCUCUCAGAGGAUCGAUUCUUCUCAGUCUCUUCCUCAGCAAUUCUUCUUCGAAUCUUCUUUAGUUCGGUGAUUCAUCUCGGGAUUGCGAUUUCGAAGUUUGAUUUUGAGCACAGCUCCGUGAUUUAUAUCUUCGAUCAGAGGUCGGUGAUUCAUCUCAGGAUUGUGAUUUCGAAGUUUGAUUUUGAGCACAGCUCCAUGAUUCAUCUCCGUGGAUUUGGAACUCUUCAUCUUCUUCGAUCAGAGGCAUUCAAUUGUAACAAUGAAGGCUGCCAAGGGUAAGGGGGCAGCAAUCAGGGUCCCAAAGGAGGCAUUGAAGCCAGUUGACGACAGAAAGGUCGGGAAGAGAAAGGCUGCCACUAAGGCAAAUAACGGUGGCAAAAGUCAAGCCAAGAAUUGAACUCCUUUUAUAACUAUAGGUCAAACAAUAAUAAUUUCCAUAACUAUCAUCAGCUAUUUAUUUAUCAGAUAUACCAUCUUGAUGGAAACUUUUAGCUUCAGAGUUUUUUCUUCACAUAUUUUUAGUGUUUUAUUUUAUUUUAUUUAUUUUACCUUAACUUUGUAACACACAUGCUGUUACAACUAUUCGGAAAAACAU